UGUGAAUACUCUGUCUCUUUACUGUUCCUUCCGUCCAGGAAGAGCGCACACCAAGUGCAGAGGCUUCCUCAGCCUGACAGGGUUUUUAAACCCCAAAGCUUGCUAAGAAAUUUUUUUCCCCAACUAUUUAAGUUGGUCUAAUAAAAGGUAUCAAAGAAUCGCCAACACAGCUACAACCUGCAGCCCCAUUUCACUUGGGGUUUUUUUGUUUUGUAUUCUUAAAUCCGAUGUCUAAUAUUCAACUCGCAAAGGGUCGUCUUGUAGCUGUUUUUUAACUACAGUGCUCCUCAGGCUCGCAUCCUGGAGGAUGGCACCUUAUUAUUAUUUUUUUUUUUAUUUUUUUUUUUUUUUUGGAGUCCUGGGAUGAAUCACAGAGCGGGACAGGUCCCAACGGGCAACGAGUUCUGGAAGGUUCUGGCGGGGGGAUGCUGGUGAUGCAGAAAUGCUUGUACCCAUCGGUGUGGCGCCAUACGGGCAGCCUAAUGUUCAAAUAUCUCAACCAGAAUCAGAGUCCUGUUCGAUUAGGAGCUAUACAAACAGAAGACUAAGAUCCACUGCCCCAGUAUUCAGAGAGUCAGAGCACUUUGGAAGUCAAUGAAAACUUCAAUUUUUCAGCAUCUCUGAAAAUCAGGCCAACUUUUUAACCCACAGAGAGAGAGUAUGUGUUAAAUUUUA